rnacentral:rRNA from 1 species
CGAGGGGUAACAGAGAAAAGCUUGCUUUUUUGCUGACGACCGGCGCACGGGUGCGUAACGCGUAUACAAUCUGCCUUAUACAGAGGGAUAGCCUUUAGAAAUGAAGAUUAAUACCUUAUAGUCUAUAUAUAUAGCAUUAUAUAAAUAGUAAAGCUUCGGUGGUAUAAGAUGAGUAUGCGUCCUAUUAGUUAGUUGGUGAGGUAACGGCUUACCAAGACAACGAUAGGUAGGGGCCCUGAGAGGGGGAUCCCCCACACUGGUACUGAGACACGGACCAGACUCCUACGGGAGGCAGCAGUGAGGAAUAUUGGACAAUGGAGGCAACUCUGAUCCAGCCAUGCCGCGUGCAGGAAGACGGCCCUAUGGGUUGUAAACUGCUUUUAUAUAGGAAGAAACCUUUUCACGUGUGAGAAGCUGACGGUACUAUAAGAAUAAGGACCG